rnacentral:rRNA from 1 species
CACAGAGGGUGCAAACGUUGUUCGGAAUUACUGGGCGUAAAGCGCGCGCAGGCGGCCUUGCAAGUCGGGCGUGAAAUCCCACGGCUCAACCGUGGAAGUGCACUCGAAACUGCUUGGCUAGAGUCUUGGAGAGGAAGGCGGAAUGCUUGGUGUAGAGGUGAAAUUCGUAGAUAUCGGGAGGAACACCAGCGGCGAAGGCGGCCUUCUGGACGGUGACUGACGCUGAGGCGCGAAAGCGUGGGGAGCAAACAGG